UACAGAGGUCUCAAGCGUUGUUCGGAUUCAUUGGGCGUAAAGGGUGCGUAGGUGGCGUGGUAAGUCGGGUGUGAAAUUUCGGAGCUUAACUCCGAAACUGCAUUCGAUACUGCCGUGCUUGAGGACUGGAGAGGAGACUGGAAUUUACGGUGUAGCAGUGAAAUGCGUAGAUAUCGUAAGGAAGACCAGUGGCGAAGGCGGAUCUCUGGACAGUUACUGACACUGAGGCACGAAGGCCAGGGGAGCAAACGGG
rnacentral:rRNA from 1 species